rnacentral:rRNA from 1 species
GCGAUGAAUCCCUUCGGGGAUGGAUUAGCGGCGGACGGGUGAGUAACACGUGGGUAACCUGCCUCAAAGAGGGGGAUAGCCUCCCGAAAGGGAGAUUAAUACCGCAUAAUAUUAGUUUUUCGCAUGGGAAACUAAUUAAAGGAGUAAUCCGCUUUGAGAUGGACCCGCGGCGCAUUAGCUAGUUGGUGAGGUAACGGCUCACCAAGGCGACGAUGCGUAGCCGACCUGAGAGGGUGAUCGGCCACAUUGGAACUGAGACACGGUCCAGACUCCUACGGGAGGCAGCAGUGGGGAAUAUUGCACAAUGGGCGAAAGCCUGAUGCAGCAACGCCGCGUGAGUGAUGAAGGCCUUCGGGUUGUAAAGCUCUGUCUUUUGGGACGAUAAUGACGGUACCAAAGGAGGAAGCCACGGCUAACUACGUGCCAGCAGCCGCGGUAAUACGUAGGUGGCAAGCGUUGUCCGGAUUUACUGGGCGUAAAGGAUGCGUAGGCGGAUUUUUAAGUGAGAUGUGAAAUUCCCGGGCUUAACUUGGGAGCUGCAUUUCAAACUGGAAGUCUAGAGUGCGGGAGAGGAAAGUGGAAUUCCUAGUGUAGCGGUGAAAUGCGUAGAGAUUAGGAAGAACACCAGUGGCGAAGGCGACUUUCUGGACCGUAACUGACGCUGAGGCAUGAAAGCGUGGGUAGCAAACAGGAUUAGAUACCCUGGUAGUCCACGCCGUAAACGAUGAGUACUAGGUGUAGGAGGUAUCGACCCCUUCUGUGCCGCAGUUAACACAAUAAGUACUCCGCCUGGGAAGUACGAUCGCAAGAUUAAAACUCAAAGGAAUUGACGGGGGCCCGCACAAGCAGCGGAGCAUGUGGUUUAAUUCGAAGCAACGCGAAGAACCUUACCUAGACUUGACAUCUCCUGAAUUACUCGUAAAUGGAGGAAGCCCUUCGGGGCAGGAAGACAGGUGGUGCAUGGUUGUCGUCAGCUCGUGUCGUGAGAUGUUAAGGUUAAGUCCUGCAACGAGCGCAACCCUA